CUGCAAAUUCAAGAUGAACAAAAGCAGAUGUCAGCAAGAUUUAACAGUCGUAUAAAAAUCAUUUAUACGACUGUUGAGAAAAAAGUAAAACCCCGGGAAUGCGCUGAUGUUGACUUUUUAAAAGAUGGUGUUUUCGUAAUUUACCCAAGGGGUGAAAAUCAACCUAAACGUGCUUAUUGUGUUUGGCAAGACAACAGAAAAUGGACGGUAAUCCAACGACGUUUUGACUUCUCCGUUAAUUUCUUUAGAUCAUGGAAGGAAUACAAAGAAGGAUUUGGGAACGCUUCCGGAGAACAUUGGUUAGGAAAUGAUUUUAUUCACUCGAUAUCGACAAAUGGACGGCAUAGAGUGAAAUUCAUCUAAAGUAAAGAUGGAACAAAAAAAUAUGCAGAAUACUCAAAUUUCCGAAUCAGAGACGAAAAGAGUAAAUACAAGUUAAAAGUGUCAGGCUAUAGCGGAACUGCAGGCGAUUCCAUUGACAGUGUUGAUUCUCAAGGGAGGGCAAAUGGACAAAAAUUUUCAACUUAUGACCGGGACAAUGAUAAUAAUAAGAACUUUGCUUGUGCAAUAAUGAACAAAGGUGGAUGGUGGUACAAUUCAUGUGACUAUGCCAGUCUGAAUGACAUGGACAGCUAUAAAAUAAGUUGGUAUUUUCAUAUGGGUUUUCUAUUGGAUACAUCCAUGGUUAUGAUUACUAAAGUAUGAAAACGACGGCAAAAUGUUUUAUUACUGCAACAUUCUAUAGAAACAUGUUUAAAACAUUCGUCAAGCACUUUACAAUGAGUAAUCUUUACUUUAUGAAUGUCCAGAUAUAUAAAAGUGUACAGCUUUGUGGUGAGAUUGAAAGUAGUAAACCUGUAUGGGUUUACAUCCUCGUACUUUUUUGUGGUGACAUGUUGUCUUAUUGCAAUAAAGGAAAAGGGUCCUUAUUUCAA